UAUGCAUUCAUAGUAAAUUGAUCUAACAACUCCUUGCUUAUCUCUCUAUAACGAGAUGAGAUCUAUAAGCAUUGUUGUUGUCUUUUUUGCAUUAGCUCUUCUUCUAAGCACCAAACCAAGUGAAGCUAGUAGAAUCUUGCAUGAAGAAAAAGAAGAGUCGAUAAAGAAAGAAAAUCUUUUGUUCCAGUCUUUGCAGAAGGGUCCGGUCCCUCCUUCGGGACGGAACCCUCCUACCUACAUUCCUUCACGUAGCAAUAGAGCAAGUACCAUUAGCCAAAAAGGCUUCGCGGGUCAUGCUAUGCUGCUGCGGCCAACAUUUGGUUUAGCCGAAAAUUAAGCGUAAACAAAGUCCACCAAAAGUCAUCCAAUUUGGGCUCCUUUUUUUUAGUUAAUUUAGUUGUUUUUGUUACAAGUAUUUUUCAUGUUUAAUGAAAUUCUUUUAACUGUUUGAUCAAAAUUUUAUACUCUUUUGAUUUUUCUUGAUGCUAAGAAUUUGAAAAUAUAAACAUUUUAAUCUAUUUUUAAAAAGAAUCACUUAAACAAAAGAUAUCAUUUUUUCUUGAAAAGUAAGCGAAGUUUUUUGUCUUUAAUUAUUGGGAAUUUUUUCUAAAUUUGAACAUUUUUUUAAAAAUUUUCAGAUUCCGCUCAUCAAUAGGAACUGAAAAGCAUAAUAUUUUAAUCAACCGGUUUAAAAUUUUCAUUGAAAACAAAACAAAAAAAACUCAAAAACUAAAACAGCUAAAAUUAAUUCAAAAAAAAGCUAGCCCAAACUGGAUAAACACAAUAAGAACUAUAUCUACCAUUACCCUUCAAGUUGGAGCCUACAAAUAUAAAGUGAUUAGAAUAAGAGUGGUGCAAACCACAUUGUAAUCUACAUUUAUAUGCUUUUGGGUGUAAUAUUUGAUACUGAAUCAUAAUAGAAGAAUGACAACAUGUCUACUGUGAAUAACGCUUUUCUUCUUCACUCAUGA
rnacentral:lncRNA from 1 species